GCGUGUUAUGACACAGUGAACAACAUGCUAUGGACAUGCUCAAAUGACUAUAUCGAUCAGUGGUGUAACCCUGGGAAUCAAGCCUUCCAUUAUGUCUGCCAGAGACUUGGAGUCAGUCACAUUAUCACUGAGCCCAAAGAAGAGGCUAUAACCACGAAUGAGGUUAUAAACCAAUUAUUGCACCACGUUGGUGCGAUGUGCAUACACCAACUCAAUCUUCUUGCCACCAACCCCAAUCUUCCAAUCACAAGUGUCUUGGGCAAGCAGCAUCCAAUUGAAGCACAUCAUCUUAGCAGUAUUUGUGACAUUAUGGAGAAGGCCAUGGUUAAUGGAGAUACCUGUAUUAUACGCUGCAUUCUCGUUGUCUUUCAGGUGGUAUUUAAAUUUUUCUUCAGCCCACAAACUGAAAGGAAUCGAGACAUCAUUCGACGGUCGGGAUUGCUUCUUUGGCAGUUGUUGAUGGCUCCAAAAGAUCAAAUUUGCCCUGAAAUUCAGAAGGAAGUCUGCCUUGCCAUCAGCUCUGGUUUAAAUAUUUUGUACCCAGGUGAAACUGAAAUCAAUAACUUACUUAAACUGGUCUUAACAGAAGGAGAGAGAAACAGUGGACUCUCCCAGCUACGGGAUGUGAUCCUAACCAACCUGGCUGAACAGCUCCAAAACAACCGAUUUGGCAGUGAUGAGGAUGAUCAUUACAGACUAAAUGAUGAACUUUUACACUACAUUCUGAAGAUUGUUGUACGAGAAUCCUGUAUCUUAAUCACCAAGUGCCAAACUGUCUCUAAAGAUGAUUUUCAAAAGCUCCUUUCAACUGUGCCUGCUGCAUCCUCCUGCCUGCGCUAUCUGAUGGCAGUUCAGAAUCACCUUCUCAGUAACACUAUUUUGAUUAAACCUGAUGAGAAUGAUGACAGUGACAGCUCCUUGCAGGGAGAGACAUUGAAGGUACAGGAGCUAAAAGUCAGUAUUUUGGCUCUUGCCACCCAAAUCCUGACUGGAUGUGAUGAAGUGUUGGAAAUGCUACAGCAGGUCACAACUGCCCUCAUAAAUAGUGACAUAGCAGACCGUGAGCAGAGGUUAAAAGGCUUGGAACAAGUUACUAAGGCUACUAUGCUUGGUCACCUUCUUCCAGUGUUACUGACCUCCUUGAUGCAUCCAAAUUUACAGACUCUGAUCAUGGCGGAUGCCCUGAUGCCUCAGCUAGUGCAGCUGGUACUCUAUACCAGCCAGACGGCGUUGCUGCUUAAAACCCAGUGUCCGGUUUUUGCUGAGGUGGGCUGUUCCCCGUGUGGUGCACCAGACCAGAAGUGCAGGCUGUUCCCUGAUGAGAGAAUGUUAGAAGAGAAGGAAGAGCCAGGAUUUCUCACUGGUUUAAAGAUUCCUGCCCCAUGGGCUGCUGGAAAGACUGUGGAAACAGUCCACCCCGUCAGAGACAACUAUAAAUUUAAAGAAACGGUCCAUAUCCCAGGAGCUCGCUGCCUGUACCUUAGAUUUGAUAGCAGAUGCUCUUCGCAAUAUGACUAUGACAAAUUGGUGAUAUAUGCGGGGCCUAACACAAACAGUAGGAAGGUUGCUGAAUAUGGAGGCAACACACUGGGAUAUGGCAGCCGUAGUGUCUUAGGAACUGGUUGGCCGAAAGACUUGGUGAAGGUGGAAGGAGAUACAGUCACCUUCUCCUUUGAAAUGAGAAGUGGCCGUGAACACAACACUCCUGAUAAAGCCAUGUGGGGCUUUGCUUGCACAGUUCGCGCUCAGGAGUCUUCGGAGGAUGUCUCAGGAGGCUUGCCCUUUCUGGUAGACCUGGCUUUAGGUCUUUCUGUGUUAGCUUGUUCCAUGUUAAGAAUCCUGUACAAUGGACCAGAAAUUACCAAAGAAGAAGAAGCCUGUCAGGAGCUAUUGCGGUCCAAACUUUUACAAAGGUGCCAGUGGCAGGUGGAGGCCAAUGGCGUGAUCUCCCCUGCCCUUACUCCGAGCCCCUCUCCACUGCCUCUGACCAUAGAGGAAGACAGAGAAUUCACCUACCCCUCUGAUGUCCUCGUGCCUCCUGUUGGAAACUACUUUGAUCUGCCUCGGAUCAGACUGCCUCCAGGAAUCAUGAUAAAGCUCAGGGAAAUUUCUGGGCGUGCUAGACCUCAAUUUAGACCAAGUAUAAAGUAUGUUGCUGUGUAGUGUUUUACUUUUCCCAAUGGGAAAAAAAAGUUUAAACAAUUGAAAUGGGUAUAUUUCUUUUGUGGUCUAGUAAAUGAAACUUUAAUUUUAUGUUUACUCCAUGAAUGUUAAAAUUAACUGAGUCUAGAGGGCCCACCAGGCAGUAUUCCAGACUAGGGGCUCUCAAAAUUUGGCCCACCAGUCAGCAGCAUUGGCAUCACUUGGGAACUUGUUGGUUCUUGGACCCCAUUUUGCACCUAUUGAAUCAGAAGGUCUGAGGAUGGGGCGCAGCUUAACAAGUUUCCCAUUUGACUGAUGCAUGCUAAAGUGUGACAAGUGCUAGGUUUAUCUCUAGUAUUUUGACCUUCUACUAGCAGUCAGCCUCUACUUUACUUUCCAGAGUCUAGAGACAUGUGUUUAUUUUUGAUGCCUAGAGAAAUGGUGAGGAGUUCUCUAAUGUAGAAUGUACAUACAGUUACAAAUGUCUGUGGUAUUCUUGCUUAAAGUCAAGUCUGUUUUGCAGGCCUCUGCUCUGCCUCCUGAGGCAGGAUUUCAGAGAGAAAACUUUAGAGAAUAUAUGAAAUUUAAAAUG
rnacentral:sRNA from 1 species